rnacentral:antisense_RNA from 2 species
UUUUAUGGCAGCUGUCAUGGGGCACCCCGUGUGCGCCGGUUUUGGUCUGUUCGCCGGUCUGUCAACCCAUGCACAGCUGCCACCUUU